AGAGUUUGAUCCUGGCUCAGAUUGAACGCUGGCGGCAGGCCUAACACAUGCAAGUCGAACGGUAACAGGAAGCAGCUUGCUGCUUCGCUGACGAGUGGCGGACGGGUGAGUAAUGUCUGGGAAACUGCCUGAUGGAGGGGGAUAACUACUGGAAACGGUAGCUAAUACCGCAUAACGUCGCAAGACCAAAGAGGGGGACCUUCGGGCCUCUUGCCAUCGGAUGUGCCCAGAUGGGAUUAGCUAGUAGGUGGGGUAACGGCUCACCUAGGCGACGAUCCCUAGCUGGUCUGAGAGGAUGACCAGCCACACUGGAACUGAGACACGGUCCAGACUCCUACGGGAGGCAGCAGUGGGGAAUAUUGCACAAUGGGCGCAAGCCUGAUGCAGCCAUGCCGCGUGUAUGAAGAAGGCCUUCGGGUUGUAAAGUACUUUCAGCGGGGAGGAAGGGAGUAAAGUUAAUACCUUUGCUCAUUGACGUUACCCGCAGAGGAAGCACCGGCUAACUCCGUGCCAGCAGCCGCGGUAAU
rnacentral:rRNA from 1 species